rnacentral:rRNA from 1 species
UACGUAGGGGGCAAGCGUUGUCCGGAAUUAUUGGGCGUAAAGCGCGCGCAGGCGGUUCGGUAAGUCUGGUGUAUAAGCUCAGGGCUCAACUCUGGGAGGCACUGGAAACUGUCGGACUGGAGUGCAGGAGAGGAAAGUGAAUUCCACGUGUAGCGGUGAAAUGCGUAGAGAUGUGGAGAAACACCAGUGGCGAAGGCGGCCCGCUGGGCAGGAAGACACCGCAAGGUGUCGGCUGACGCUGAGGCGCGACAGCGUGGGGGAGAAAACAGGG